AAACGAAAGAAAAACACAAAAAACACGCUUCAAGUUUUUGGUUCGGCUUUGAAGCUUGUUUUUUGUAUAAUGAAAAUAUGCAAAGGAAACAAUAAGUUUUCUUCUAGCAUAACUUCUUUCAAGUUUCACUCAUUAGAUUGUUAUCUCUGAUACAGAAAUCCCAUAUGAGUGAAAUUUGUGCUAUCUCUAAAGGGAUAUUUGUCCAAGGGUCACUCUGAAAGAUAGAUAAUCCUGCAGUUUAAGCUUCUGACAUUUACUUCCAAAGCAGCAAAUAAAAAUACUCUAUAUUUUAAUUCUAAAACAGAAAAUCUAGAAAUAUUGCAUGAGUUUGUAAAAUAUUGCUCAGGUAAGAAAAUGACAGGGGCUUAAACUGCAAGAUUAUCCAAAGAUAAAAGUAAAUAAUUUGUCCCUUACAGCUAAUCUUUAUAUUUGAUCCUUAUAAUGCAAGGCUUUUGGAUAAGAAGAAUGAUGUCAUAAUGUAGGCUUUUUUGUGAUCUGGUGGGUCUGGCAUGCUUGGGCUAGCACUGCCAAUAAGCAAAACAGGUAUAAAUAGGUAUUUUUUGUUAUUGGCAGUGUUGCCUGAGUAUGCCAGAUUUGCAAGAUCACAAAAAGAACCUACAUCAAGUAUAUCAAAGCAAGUGACAUUCUUAACUUUCUAUUGGAAUGCCAUAAUAGCCUUUCAUGAACUACUCCAAAAGGGGGAGGUAGCUCUAGAAUACUGAAGAUUGAUUUGUACCAAUCUCACAAGGGAUCUUCAUAAUUUUGUAAAAUUUGAGUGCUGAAAAUGCUUUCCAUCACUUGUUUAAACACUCAAAGAAAUCCCAAAAACAAGGAUUUUUAUUGGUAGACCAUAAACAACCAUAACUGAGCUCAAAUUGAAAAUUUUUUUUAACUCCUGGAGUGCUGGCUAUUUAUUGAAAUUAAACCUAAUUAUAUGCAACAUAUUAAUCAUGCAAAAUUUUUUGAAAAUUUCAAAA
rnacentral:lncRNA from 1 species